rnacentral:rRNA from 1 species
AACGAACGCUAUCGGUAUGCUUAACACAUGCAAGUCGGACGGACUAAUUAGGGCUUGCUCCAAUUAGUUAGUGGCAGACGGGUGAGUAACACGUGGGAAUCUGCCCCUCAGUACGGAAUAACUUUUAGAAAUAAAAGCUAAUACCGUAUAUUCUCUACAGAGGAAAGAUUUAUCGCUGAUGGAUGAGCCCGCGUCAGAUUAGUUAGUUGGUGAGGUAACGGCUCACCAAGCCGACGAUCUGUAGCUGGUCUGAGAGGAUGAUCAGCCACACUGGGACUGAGACACGGCCCAGACUCCUACGGGAGGCAGCAGUGGGGAAUAUUGGACAAUGGGCGAAAGCAUGAUCCAGCAAUACCGAGUGAGUGAUAAAGGCAGUAGGGUUGUAAAGCUCUUUUAGCAAGGAAGAUAAUGACGUUACUUGCAGAAAAAGCCCCGGCUAACUCCGUG